CCCUCCUUUAUUUUCCUUGACCUAAAUCAAUUCUCCUCUCAAAAUUCAUCCCUAGAUCUGGUAAAACAACUGGCGGCCCUCUCAUUCUCUUGGCUCUCCUCCCCGCGUUUCAACCCGAACCGAAGGAAGAUGAAUAAAAAUCACAACCUUGCCAUCUGAUUAGCGAUAGUCUUCUUCCAUCCUAGACUUUAAUCGGAGGUCUGAAAGCCAAUUAAGGUCUGUUGUGAUUGAGAUCUUGUAUCAUAUUUUUUGUCAUAAAGCACAAGCUGAAUUUAUUGACUUCAUACAGGGUGCAUACAUUAAGAAUGGUAGUAAAGAUAAUUAUGCUCAUGGUGGUGGUAGUGAUGGUGGUUGUGGUCUUUGUGGUGGAAAGAUAAAGCAAGUUGCAUAAGGGAAACACAUUGAUAGUGACAUUGUUAUCGAUCUUGAUCUUAGUGGAAAGAUAAAGCUACGGAUGCAAGGCGUAAAGUACCGGAUAAAGGAUACAAUUUUGAUAUCCUAUGUGAAUUUCUACCUGAUGGGAUGCCCCUUGAGAAAUGGAAACGAACGUGGCUGACAAACAAGUGGGUAAAACAAUUGGAUACAAGAAAGUAUUCCUACAGACCCACGCCACUAAGAAGUGAAAAAAGUGUUACAAGAUCAGGAGAUGAGCGAAAAUGAUUUUGAUUCAUUAGAGUUUGUUACCAACCAUGCAAAAUGUUCAUAUGCCGUGUACACGUUACAAGUAAAAAAGUUGUAUGGGGACAAGGAUUGCGAUGAUUUAGCCGUGUAGUAGAGUCUGCUUCUUGAGUGUAAGGGUCGUAAGAUGUUCGGCAUAGGAUCUUCUGCUCCUGUUUUUGUGGUGAUUAGAAAACCAUCUUCCAGAACUUGCAGGUCAUACGAUGAUGCCUCGACAGUCGCAUGAGCUUCAAAAAGUUCAAGCGGAAUUAGAAAGAGAGCGAGAGGCCCGACAAAACAUAGAAUCCCAUUUCGAACAAUUUCAACAAGAGCGCGAAAAAGAGCGGGCCGACCAAGCGGCAUGGCAAAAAACUAUGGAAGCCAAGCUGAAAACAUCGGAAAUAAGUAAAAACUCUGGUCUUGUUAAGUAUUGGAUUAUUAAAGGUCGGAUUAGUGCUUUUAAUUAGUAUUUUUUGUGCGUUUUGGAAUGUUUUAAAAUUUUCGGAAUGUUUGGAAUGCGUGGGAAUGUUGUUUUAAUAUUUUUGGAAUGUUUUAGAAUUUU